rnacentral:rRNA from 1 species
AUGAAAAGAUUGAAGAACGAGGUUCCAGUCGUUGGUAAUUUCAGGGAAGCAUACAUUGGCAUUGCUCCUGAGUUAGCCAAAGAGAUCGCGGAAGAAGUGGAUGUUAUCGUAAACUCUACAACAAAUACCACUUUUGAUGAGAGGUAUGAUGUAGCACUAGACAUCAACACCGUGGGGCCAUUCCGGAUAAUGAGUUUCGCGCAGCGGUUUCGAAGACUGAAGCUCUUCUUGACUUCAAAGAGGAGAUUCCAUCAUAAUCUCUGGAAGCUAGUGUCAAGGAAGCCGUUAGCCGCCACCUUAACUGAAAGUUGGUGA